rnacentral:rRNA from 1 species
GGGGUGGGCAAGUUCUGGUGUCAGCCGCCGCGGUAAAACCAGCACCUCAAGUGGUCAGGAUGAUUAUUGGGCCUAAAGCAUCCGUAGCCGGCUCUGUAAGUUUUCGGUUAAAUCUGUACGCUUAACGUACAGGCUGCUGGGAAUACUGCAGAGCUAGGGAGUGGGAGAGGUAGACGGUACUCGGGAGGAAGUGGUAAAAUGCUUUGAUCUCUCGAUGACCACCUGUGGCGAAGGCGGUCUACCAGAACAUGUCCGACGGUGAGGGAUGAAAGCUGGGGGAGCAAACCGGAUUAGAUACCCGGGUAGUCCCAGCUGUAAACUAUGCAAACUCAGUGAUGCACUGGCUUGUGGCCAGUGCAGUGUUGCAGGGAAGCCGUUAAGUUUGCCGCCUGGGAAGUACGUACGCAAGUAUGAAACUUAAAGGAAUUGGCGGGGGAGCACCACAAGGGGUGAAGCCUGCGGUUCAAUUGGAUUCAACGCCGG